ensembl:lncRNA
GCAAGCUGUCCAUGGACCCAUGUGCUUGUCUUUUUGGGCCACUUUCUUUCACAUUCCCGAGGAAAAUGCCGAAGUCCACAUGGAAGUGCUGUAAGGCCAGCCAACAAGACCUUGCAAUUUAAAUGGAAUUCCUGUAUGUCUGGCUGCCAGGACAGCUGUUCCUUUGAAGCUGAAGCUCCUUUUGGGGAAAAAAAAAAAAAAGAUACUGACCAUAAAAAGCUUGUGAUCCUCAUCCAUCCAUGAAGACCUGAGUUCUGGCUGUCUAAGGAAAACCCCACUGAGGAGAGUUGGCAGCUCUUGGCACCCCAGCAUUUUGUUCAGUCGUUUCAUCAGACCCACUGUGCAGCACUGGUAAACCCAUUCUGAGUUUUGCAGUGUAUGGCACUCACUCCCCACCCACGCCCAAUGGCAGUAGGCUUUUGAAAUGUUGCUUAAAGUUUGAAAAAAAAAAAAAAAAGUUGUGAUAUUGUGAUGAACCUCUCUUUCUUUGUGAUGAACCUUUCUCUCAUUUUCUCCGUGCUUCAGAGUGCUUUCUUCGCUGGACUGGGCAAAGCCAUGUGCUCUCUGCAGAGGAAGCAGGAGUAGCGAGCAAGCCUCAGUGGCUGUCCUUGAUUCAGGGCCUGACUUCCUUUCUGUCCCUGAGUUUUCAAACAUGAGAGACCACAGUAGUCUCCAUUCAGUGAAACAUCUGGCAGUGGUGGGCUCUUAAAUAUAUAUAUGUUUAUAUUUAAGCCUUAUUGGCACAGCAGCUCUCAAGGCCCGGAAGAGAACUCCCACAGGCUGUGACGCUUCCAGAUACAGAUGGCAGCUUAUGGUGUUUUGGCACCAUGUUCAUCUUCAGAGGCUACUGACUAAGGAGAGUGGUAAGACUACCGUGGAGCCAUUGCUGUGAAGGGUCACGUUCAGCCCCUAGUUUUCUCCAUUUUAAGAAAGCGUGCAGGUGGAAGUAAAGAUCUGCCAGUUCAAAGGUUGCCUUUGAUUUUGUAUGUUUGUGCCUAUAGGUGAAGUAAGCCAAUCCACACCUAGGAAAAUGAUGCCUUUUGAAAUGAAGCUUUCCAA